rnacentral:rRNA from 1 species
AAAUUGAAGAGUUUGAUCAUGGCUCAGAUUGAACGCUGGCGGCAGGCCUAACACAUGCAAGUCGAACGGUAGCACAAAGGAGCUUGCUCCUUGGGUGACGAGUGGCGGACGGGUGAGUAAUGUCUGGGAAACUGCCCGAUGGAGGGGGAUAACUACU